rnacentral:snRNA from 2 species
GUGCCCACAUUGGCAGCACAUAUACUAAAAUUAGAAUGAUACAGAGAUUAGCAUGGCCCCUGUACAAGGAUGACACAAAUUCAUGAAGCAUUCCAUAUUUAA